ensembl:lncRNA
CGCCGCCGCCACCGGGAACAAUGCGGGCCAAUGUCUUCGGGCGGGCGAGCCCGCUAUGCAAAUGUCCAACGGCCUGUGAGAAUCCCCCUCCGCCGCCGCCCCGGCUUCCACCGCCUGAAAGGGGCUGGCGGCCGGGCCUGGGGAGGCGGUCACUGCAUAGGGAUGAGCUGUCGUCAGGGAGCGCCCGCCCGGGACAGAGCGCCAUUGUCUAUGUGCCGCCGUCUGAUCGCCAGUGGAGUUCGCCAGCAGAGUUCGCCAGCCUGGGGAGGACGGCAGAAGGUGACCCAAACCAGGCCUCGGGACGUAGAAGGAAUGGUCACCUGUUCCGUCCACAUCUGCUCCUAUCCCCAAAGAGCCUUGACCUUGGGGUCAGACGGUGGGGGGCCCCCAUCUCGGCAACCCCACUCGCUAGCUUGGCGACCUGCACAAGUCAGUUCAUUUCUCUGAGCCUCUGUCUCUUGGAGGUUAAACCUGGCCGGUAGUUGCUGUGCCUCCCACCCUCUCUCCCUGUUAACCACGCCCUCCCCAAUUUCCAUCCAUUUUUUCACACCGCCUUGACCAGAGACGUCUCAGGAGCCGCUUCCCUUCCAAAGCCCUGAGGGAAUAGUCAUGGGUUCCCUAAAGCAGGUUACUGGACAGAGAUGCCCCAAGGGAUCCUCUCUGACCCUUCAGCCCCAGGCCCAGUCCAGGCCUUCCUUCCUGCUGCGUUCCACAGUCCACCACCAGUUAAGGAGUCCCACCUUUUACUGGGAGCCAUGGCAGGACUGAAAUAAACUUCUCCAAUGAUGCAGAGCUGGGGGUUGCUGCAAGUUCCCUCCCACAAGUGAAAGAAGUGCAUCCCUCUACCCCCAGCUCAGGAGCCCGUGUCCAUCUAAGAGACUGUACCGGUCCAACACUGGAGGAAAUACCUGGACAGUGGGCAAGGGAGCUCUCUGCUGGGAGCGGAAUCCAUUCCAGCUGGGAUCUCAGCCCCCGGCUCUUGGGCACUUACAGGCUGAGCUCCAGUAGUUGAGUUUGCAACUCAGCCAGGUGCGGGACCUGAGUCCAUCUUUCCUAAACUCCCACCAAGACUCAUGAUCAAGGAGCUGAUGCCACUCAGCUCCUGUGGCCUCCUCCCCAGGCCCGUCUUCAACCUGCAAGGACUGUUUUAGCAUCCCUCAGACUUCACUCCUGCACCCGAGAAGGAGCACCCCCUUCCUCCCCUGAGAACACGCUGAGACGUCCCCCGGCCUAUCUGGUCCUCUCCUCUCAGUCCCUCUGAUUGUGUUUGCAACAUGUUCUGCCAGAAGUCAGCAUGGGAAAGCGAACAGCACAUACUUUGGGAUCUGCAAAGCCCUCUCUGAAGCCCCACCCAACUUACUAGUUCUGUGACGCUGGGCAACUUACAUGUCCUUCUUGGGGCUGAUUCUGCCUUUGUAAAGUGGGGACAGCAUCACCAGUUUUCAGGACUGUUGGAAGAUUAACUGAGAUAAUGGCUAAGAAAGGGCUUACACAAGCAAGUGGGUGCCAAAUCAAAGUCAGUUUCUUCCUUCCUGGGGUAGAGGGAAGCUGUGCCUAGGAAAGAAGAAUAAAGUCAGUAGGGGCUACACAGAAGUCAGGCAUCAGAGGCACAGCUGUGGGCACGGCAUUCCUUUCCUGCCCCAUCUGGAGUUGGGAGCCCUAGCUUUGGAAGCCCCCAAAGUUCACCUCACCCCACUUCUCCAAGGGCUUUAAAAUCUGAGAAGAGAAUUUCAGAAAGAGGAGGGGAUCUGAGCCACUCUCCUGCACUGCCCAACCCCUCAGAUCAGUGUCACCUCCCGCCUACCUAGACUCAGACUUGCCAGACUUACCUCCUUCCUCCCUGCUCCCCCCUCCCCUACCCGACCUUCCCACAACCCCCAUGUUUGCCAGGUCCCUAACCUUGACCUUGACCAUACUUUGGAGGGGCUGGGAUGGGAGGUCUGCCUUGACCACUAUACUGGAAGCUCCCCAAAGGUGAGGUAAGGACUCUCCCUCAAACCUGGGCUCCUGGAGCCCUGUGUCCCUGACCCCCUCUGGCCCUCUUCCCAGCCUGGGCUGGCUCCCAGAGGCCCUGAGGUGAGCCAGCUGUUCCUCAGUGCCCCAACUAAGUCUGUCAGCCUCUCCCUCUACAGCUCCCUUUCCCACUCUUCCCACUCCUUGCUCCAGAUCCUCCGCCUGCCUGGGAGCCCUCCUAGCCCCAGGCUGGCUGGAUUUGGGGGAACAACAGAAGAGACUGGUGUUUGUCAUGGCCUGGGAAGGGGUGGUGCAGGAAGCUCAGUGCAGGGCCCUCCCCUGGGUGGGGGAGGAGGAGUCCAGAUGGAACAGUCUCCGCCUGUUCCACCCUCCCAGCCCCUGACAUAGCGAGCAUCUCCUAGCAACGGUACAGUAGCAGGGGGCUGGGAAGAGGGUGGGGGCUGGGAAAGUGGGGCGGGGAACAAUGAUAUCAUAAAUUAUCCCCAGCCCCUCCCUGCCAGCCCACCCUUCCUCAGUUGAGAAUGGCCUCCUUUCUCUUUCCACCUGCUCCUCAUUCAAGAUUCCCUCAGCAAAGCUGGCCCCUGCUCAGUGCCCCUUAUAGAUGCCCGAGGUCAAGGUGACCAUUCUCUGCCUUCUGCUUGAGCUCCAGAGGGAGGGAAUUCUCACCAUCCCAGGAUCUCUCAGGGACCCUUGUUGGAACCUCCCCAAUGGCGGGAGGGGGAGACUGCUUUCUGGGCCACCCCGCAAAGCCUUGGAGACUACCACUUUCCAAUGGUCUCUGGCUCCUGUCUCUUUCUUUGGGUGGGGAUGGGGGCAAGGAAGGGAAAUUUCAAAGCAUUUUGUGAUAUUGACUCCCCUUCUCUAAAGAAAAAGUCUUAGACUUGGGGCCCCCAAGUCUUUAAGGGGCACUUGGACCUCUCACCAAGCUAGCCAAGUCUUAGUUUCCUGGUCCUAACAGCUGGAGUCCAGGAAGCCCAAUAAAGUCGUUAAAGCUGGGUGGCAGUUCCUUCCUUACCUCUCAAAUUAACCAUGUCAAGCCAAGGGUCAAAGAACUGGUGCUUCAGCAGUACAGAUCUUGGUUAGACAUUGGGAAGGACUUCCCAAGACAGGAAUAAGAAAGAUCAUGGAAUUUCCUGGUUGGAGAGAGGAAAAGUCUGUCAUAGAAACAGGAAACUGAGUGGGAACCUCUUAAAUUUCAUCUCAUUAAUGCUUUCUUAGCCAAAUUAAAUACACUGAGGACAGAGCCUGACACAUAGCAAGCCUCCAAUUUGGCUACUUUUUUUUUUUCUAAAGAUUUUUUUUUUUUUUCCUUUUUCUCCCCAAAGCCCCCCGGUACAUAGUUGUGUAUUCUUCGUUGUGGGUUCUUCUAGUCGUGGCAUGUGGGAUGCUGCCUCAGCGUGGUCUGAUGAGCAGUGCCAUGUCCGCACCCAGGAUUCAAACUAACGAAACACUGGGCCGCCUGCAGUGGAGCGCGCGAACUUAACCACUCGGCCACGGGGCCAGCCCCCAAUUUGGCUAUUUUUAAAAAUCACAUUAAUAUGAAUUUUUAUUGGAUGAAUAUCAGGAGGAAAGGAUACAUCCCUGGAGACCUAUCUCCCAUCAUCCAGGAACCCCACGGGAAAAAUCCAGAUAUGAGGUAGUGCCCCGAGUACAAGAUGGCAGCCAAUUGCCAUGGCAACAGCAGAAGAAGGAGUCUGGUUGGUUGCGGGGGCGGUGCUGGGAAGCCAGCUGGUGCCAGAUGGACAAACCCAGCAGAAGGUAGCCCCAGCCGGGUGAAGCUCAUGCUCCCCGUGCCCAGGGCUCUCCCUCCAUAUGCCAGCCUCAGCCUGGUCCUUCCCUCCAGGCUUAAAGGCUCCACUGUUACCUGUGGGGGAUGAUGCCAAAACCAUUCCUCCUCCUGACUCUUUCUUGUACAACAAGGAAUGACCGCUUAGAGACAAGAGACCCUCGUGCUCAAAGUCUCCCUGGCUUAUGGGCCGAGGGAUCUAAAUAAGUCUGAAUUUAGCUCCCUCCUCACAAUGCGGAGGAACCAUAAAAUCAGGCACUUGAGGGUCCUAAGUGGCAGGGCUUGGAGGUACCAUUUUGUAUACAUUCAGUGGAGGGUCACAAUGUCUGGCUAGUGCUCCCUCUGGAGAACAAUGACAUGAGGGCUGCAGGGAGGGAGCAAAGUGGGCUAGGGCAACAUGGGGAACUCGAGCUUCGCUCCAUCCCUCUCCUCCUCUCAGGAUUGCUGGACAGUGUUUGCACAGGGCCAGCGGGAAGUUCUUCCUGAGAAGGCUGGAAGAAGCUGUGGUCAUGGAGUCUACCACCCAGUUGUUAAAAACAAAUGCCUCCCAAACCAGUCUAGCAAGAUGCUGGCCUGCGUGAGACCACGAGAGCUCCAGCCAGUCCUCCAGCCCGUCCCCGGAGCCCAGCCACACUUCUCAGACAGGGCUCCACCAUAGAUUGCACCCAGACUCCCUUCACUCUCCUCUCCAGCAAUCCCUGCUCUCGUUUCCAAACCCUGGAAGCCUUCUCUGAUUGUUCCCACCUACCUGCAAUGGCCCCUCUGUGUCCCUCAGCAUUUAGAAUUAACACGACAUCUGCACACAGCCUUACGAAGCACUCUCAUUGACACUGACCCAUUUGGUCCUCAGGACAACCGUGGAAGGAAGUUAGGAUCUAAACACAUUAAGUGGUUUGCCUAUGGUCACCCAGGUAGUAAGAAAGGGAAGCCAGAAUUUAUAUCCUGAUCAGCCUGAUUCCAGAGUCAAAAACCAAAACUUCAUUGUCCUUCCUUUUGUUGUCCUUCCUGUGGACAGAGCCCCUCUAUCAAAUCUGUGAGCAACCUGCAAGCUGAGGCUGUAACUGAUGUCAUUCUGCUUCCAGCACCCCCAAAGCCAACAUUUAUUAGAAGGGACAGUGUGCACAACAAGGGGUUGGAGGUAGGGGAGAAUGUCUACCCACACUGUGAUUAGCAGUAAGUGACCCUGAGGCCAGGCAAGGAGAGAAACCUCCCCUGGGGAGGACAUGACUGGGUGUGGAGACUGAGGUGGCCUCAGGGCUCCUUUUUGGUUCUGGUCAGUCUUGUCUUUCCACCCUCCCAACACAGCCUUCCCUGGAGGCAGACUCCAACAGUCCCUGUGCUGGGAAGAUCAGAGAGGUUCAGGGUGGGGUCAGCCCCAGAAGCACCAUGGGAAGGCGUGUAUGGGCUGGAGAUGGAAGGCUGGAGAGGCCUGGCAGGAUUGGGGUUUAUAGCUGGGAAGAAAUGUGGGGGGGAAGGGCGGGAGUAGGGCCUUGGUGCUGGGGACCUGUGGGGCCUGUCCUGGGAAUGGCUCUACCUUGGCCUCACUGUGAGACCCUGGCCAGGUCUCAGCUUCUAUUUGUUUCUCCAACCUGCUUAAAGCUUGAGGCCUCCUCUCAGCCUUCCCCUCCUCCAACCCCAUUCCACCACUCCCAGUGGGCCCCCGGGAGCUAAGCCCCCUCACCUGACAGGGCCACUUCCAUGGCCAUUCACAGAGAGGUCUUUGUGCAGACGCUGGGCCUGGGGGAGGGGCGGUAGCCAGCACCGCCCCCCGCCCCCUUACACUCCACCCCAGUGGCCAGCAGCCGCCUCAUCAUCUCUUCAGCUGUCUCUCCAGCCUUUCACUCCCUUUUUCUGGGAAGAAUCCCCCCGGAGCCUUGGCCCCCUCCUUGAUGACCCCUUACACCUUCCCUCACUCCCUCUUCCAGGAAGUUUUCAGGACUGAACCCCCUUCUCUAUUCUUCACUCCAGUCCGCAGUGGCCCAUCUCCUGUCCUGAUGUUGGGACACUGUGCUGGGGACCAACCUUGGCUUCUCCACAUUUCUCCCCAAAGGGCUCCCACCAGCCUGCCCAGUGUGUACCUGUGGGGCGUGGGCGGUUCUGGAGGGGGAGAGGCAGAGACUCUUCCUCAGGUGGCUUCCAGGCCUUUCAUACGUUCCUUCCUUUCUUCAGAACUAGCCAAGAGCCAGUUAAGUGUCUGGUUGGGUGCUGGGCUCAGUGGGCAGCUAGAUGCGGGUGUCCUUGUCGCAGCCAUACCCUGCACCCAGCAUCCCUGAGGCUGUCAGCUAACUUCUCAGAAUCCCCAUCAAAUGCAGCCUCCCUCAUGGAGCAGAUAAAGCUCUUAAUAAUGGAAUUUCUGCUUCCACUUCCCAUCUCCCCCAGCCCAGACUCCCUCUGAUGGAUGUUCCAGUCCCCUAAGGCACCAUGCUCUUCCCUACGUCCUUGCUUUCACGUACACUGUCCACUCUCCACCACCCACUUCCUCAAACUCCUUAGACUGACAACUCCUUGCUUACCUUUUAUCACUUUUAUUCCCUUUAUCUUUCAUCACCAACAUUUUGGCCCCCUCCAGGAACCCUUCCUUAACUCCCCCAAGGUGGCCCACAGUUCCCUCCCCACCUGCUCCCACAGCACUUUGCACACGUCUUCAGGACAGCAGUCUCCACAUGCCAUGUAAUUGUGUGUCUGCCUCCCCUGCUGGACGGUUAGCUCCUCAAAGAAGCUUUGUAUUCCACCUUCCUCUUCAGCAUAGCACCUGGCACAUAGUAGGCACUCAAUAAAUGUCUAGUGAAUGAAUGAGCUGACAUGGAGGUAGGGAUAAGGGAAAGGAAGGUAUGAACAUGAGAGGUGCUACAAAGGAGGAAGUGGUGGGUUCCGAUGUGACUGAUUUGGAUCGGGGGAAGGAAGAGGGCAAAUCGGAUAAUGCUCAGGAUUUGCACCUGAGGGCCUGGGAGUUUAAUGAAGCCGCCCAUAGAGGCAGGGAAGCAGGAACACGGGGCAAGACUUCAAGCCCAAUGCGGAGUGAGGGAGCAUGUGAAUGCCCUUCCUAUGUCUGGGGAAUGACCCCCUCAUGAGUUUCGGAGGGAGGCUGCACUUACAUGCCACUACAGAAGCCAAAAGCACAGGUACCUUCCUGGCCCUCCUUGCAGCUGGGGCCUGGGCGUUGGGUCUAGGCUUAGCCAAUCAGAUGCACCAGUCCAGUCUCUGACCUGGGAGCUAAUGGCAGGACCACAGGUAGCAGUUAGGGUACAAUCUGGAGUUUAUAAGAAGCCAAGACUAGAGAAAUGAACGAGCGUUUAUAACUUUGGCUGAUGGCUGAGGUGAUAAAAGUGAAUGAAAGUGAGUAGGAAGGAAAAAAACAAAGGUGACAGUAGAACCUUGGGGAACAUACUUUUGGCUGGAGGACUGGUCAACCCAGCGGACUGAGAGAAGAGAACCCAGAAUGAAUAAUCAGGGAUAUCACAGAAGAACCAAAGGCCAAAGGUGAAGACACGAUGGACAUCAGCAUGAAAUGUUCCACAAAAGUCACCAGACCUGAGCAAGGGCCGUUGGGUCCGAGCGAGGAGGUUGAGCGGCCUGAGAGGGCACAGUGUCACCAGAGUUACGAAGAUGGAAGCCGGACUGCAGGGCUGAGGAGAGAUGACUUGGAGCUUCGCCUCAAGUACAUGGUGGCCCUUCACAGGCCCCAGAGAGACCCCCACCCUAAACUGGCAGAUGAUCCUGCCUGCCCACACCUUACCCUCUCCCUCCUCCUGCUGACACCCCCAGUUCUGAUUCCUCCGGUAUUUUUUGCGUCACCCCCAGUCCUUCAAGUCCUCUGACCAUUGGCGCUCAGGAGGGGUCUGGAACCAAGGCCAGCGUGGAGGCCUCUCUACCGCGGCUGCUCCUGUGUGAGGCUCACAUCUCUUCGGGGGCUGCCCCUUCCUCAUCUCUCCCUCCUUCCUUCUCUCUCCAUCCUCUCUUCCCAGUUUCACUAGUAGGAAGACUCAACAAUGUUCCUGGUCAGCCAUAAAGCCCUGACAUCUCACCUCCCUCCACGUCCACCAACCAGGCCAGCUCUCAGCUCUGGAGAGGCGGCCAUUUUAUAGGCGCCAGCUACCUAAGAUGGCGGCCUCCCUGUCUCCCUCUGCUUUCGUUCCCACAGCCUUGCCUCUUACCCUUGCCUCUUUCUUUCUGAAGCCUGAGCCCAGCAAGGUGGGGGGCCGGGCUGGGGAGCCAAGGCCAGAGGAAGCAAAACAAAAAAGGACAGAAAAGCCGGCCCCUUGGCAUCUCUCUUUGGCACUUUAGUCCAGCAGAGGGAGAGAGGGCAGAAGGGAAGAAAGAAAGUAGUGUGAGUUUUUAUUUCCAUCCUCUUCCUGCCACCUCCCCCCCAACACACACACACACACACACACACACACACACACACACGCGUGCGCGCGCGCGCACACACUUUGAUGAAAACAAAAUUUCUCCCCUUUUCUCUCUUCUACAACCCCCCUCCCCUUUUUUCCUGGCUCCUACCAUGAGCCUCCUGGAAUGCAAAUAAGUUGUAUUAUGCAAAUGUAUGCAAAUCAGGCUUAACGAGCGGAAGGAGGGGGCAGAAUGCCGAAUGAGUAAUGGCGGAGGGUGCAGAUGGAGGAUGGCAGGAAUGACCCCUCCUCUUCUCUGUUCCCACAGCCUGGAGGCUUGCUAGGGGUAGCAGGAUGUCCCUCACUUCUGGGAAAGAGUAGAAGGUCAAAGCCACGUUGCUUCAGCUGAGACGGUUGAGCUGAGGUUGGCCUUGGCUAUAGGUGAAGGACAGGAGGGCUUGUGGGGAGAGAGGGUUAAGUACAAGGGACUCGUCCUCACUUGCACAACCUCACUUGAGCAACCUUGCCCAGAGACUCUGGAUGCACCAGCCUCCCUGCUUGUAUGGCCUGCUGAUGGCAGAACCUUCAGCUCCGGGUGCUGAAAAGGUGAUGCUUAUGCAUGCCAUGGCUUGUGCCUCAGAAAGGAGGAUUCCCAAGGGAAGAUUCCCAGCCAGACCCAGGUUCUUCCUGGGGGUGGGGGUGAAAGCUGUCUCUCUUUGUGCUUUGGAAAGUGGGGGUUGGGGUGGUUGCCAUGGCAACAUAGCAUGGAACACCCACCUCCCCAACAUCAAGCCCCAGAGGACCUAGGAGUUAGGGGGGGAUAAUGGAUUGACACCCCCUGAUGCCCCCACCACCUGGCACUGCCAGCCGGAGAUGGCGGCAUCAAAUCCUAGAGAGAAUGGCCCCUUUGUUUCUCUGCUCACGGUGUUGAGGGAGCAGGCCUGGGCACACAGAAGGGCCUUUCCCAGGCCCUGUUCCAGUUUGUGUGACUCUUGCCGGCCUCUGGAGACUCCUUGUGGCCAUCCACUGGCCUCUGUGCCCUAGCAGAUGGCUGCCCCCUUGCCUUUUCUCCCGUGGGCUUGCCAGCUACUGCUAGGUAUGUCUCUCCCUGUGCUUCUCCCUGAGGCCUCCUCUCCAAACCUCCUCAGACAGAGAUAGCAGUCAGUUCCACCUCUUCUUGGCUUGUGUGGACACCUCACAUGCUGAGACAUGCAUCCUGUCCUUUUUUGUAUGGGGGCAACCUGUGAACUCUCUCUACCUGCUCCACCCAACUCAGGCAGGGAGACCCCUAAAGAAGUACCAGGCAGAAUAGGCAGGACCAGGCUGGAAUUCAGGAGCCUGGGUCUUGGCAUUUCCACUAAGCAGCUGAGUGACCUUGGUCACACCUCUUCCACUCUCUUGGGAUCUGUAAAAUGAGGGCUAUAGGGCUGAUGCUAUCUAAGGUUCAUUUUACCUUUACCUGAUUGGUACAGUCUGUGUCUUGCAUGAACUUAGGUUGAAUACUCCCUGAGUCUAACCUUCAUCCUUCCUACUGCUGGAGAGGCCCCUCUCAUCCCAACUCCCCAAUGAGGACAAACCCAGUUUCCUGGAAAUGCAAUGUCAACUGCCCUCAGCCUUUUCCUCUCCCUGAGACUCCACAGCUGCCUGCAAAUAACUCCCACAGAUUAAAAAAUCUGGAGUUUUUGAUAGCUGACGGUGCAGAUAGGAGGACGCCCUCCUAACCCUCCCAAAGGGGGUCAGCAUAGCCAUCUCACUCACCGCCCGGGAGCUGUCCGUGGUGCUGGAUGUGGCUCUGGCACACGUGUGGAGGAAAGAGGGCGGGAGGGUGGUGGAGCACCCACCCGCCCCAGGUGAGAAGCUAAAGGAAAGAGAAGAAGCAGAAACAUUUGGAAACAGUAAGGAAAGGGGAAGAUGUAUUCCUGGAGAAAGUUUCUCCUCUCUGAAGCUCUCCAAAUUACCAAUACUAUUUUUGGGGGAAGAGCACAAGAGUCAGUGAAACUCUGAACCUCCCACCCCUUCAUCCCAAAUAACUUAAAUGUCCCAGAUUAGCUCAGGCCUUAUCUGGAUCCUAUUUAGAAAUCCACAGGGAGAUGGAGUCAUAAUUCCUGGCCUUGGGGAAGAGCUCAGGUUGAGGUAGUUGACAGGGUACAGACCUCUAAAUUCCAUCCCAAAUUCUAAGGCUCCUACAAGGAAUUUAGUAAUAAAGAUGAGGAAGAUACACAGGUGAAGACACACAAUCUGCCUGAUAGUAUUACAGAUAUCAGGAGCUUGGGAGGAAAGGUAGGGGAGGCAGGAAAGGGUGUGUUUGCAUGUGUGUGUGUGUGUCCUGGGCAGAGACAUGAACCUAUAUCUGGUUCUUAACCCUAGCUGCACCUUAGAAGCACUGAGGGAGCUUUUAAAUGAUAUUGAUGCCUAGGCCUCAUUCCCAGAUACUCUGCUUUCACUGGUCUAGGGCUGGGCCCAAACAUCAGUAUUUUUUAAAAAGCUUCCCAGGUGAUUUUAGUACAUAACUGGGUUGAGAAUCGCUGGCCUGGAAGAAAGCAGAAAAGAAAAAUUGCAGGGGUUAAGCCUGAUGAGCUGGAGGAAGAGGCAAGCUAGGGCACCUGAAGCAGAAGGGAAUGAAUAGGGAAGAAAAGAAUAAGCAUGUUAUCUCGUCUCUCCUAGGAGCUCCUGAUGGCCCCAGGCCUGGCCUAGAGACUGACUCAGGUGUUGGGCUUGUCUCUUCUGUGCUGUGGAAGCUCAAACCACCGCAAGGCAAUGAGAUGGGCUGUCUCCCCAGCCCGUCCCUUGUGCAGAGAGAAGGAAUGGGUGCAAUGACCCUGAGGGCGUGCUGCUCCCCUUCACCCAGAAGGUCCCCAGGGAGGCAGUUGUGGAAGGUAAACAGCAACAAUGGUCUCUUUCAGUGUCCAGAUUCCAACCCUUCAGUCCAAUUAGCAGACACAGCAAACAGCAAUUCAGCUGCCUUCAGCUGCUGUCAUAACAAACUCAGAGCAGCCUUAAUGGGGGGAUUAGGGCAGGAGGAGGGGGGGGUGUCACUUUGAGCCCUGGGAGAGCCUGGGUGGCAAGGAAGGGUUCCCCUUCUUUCUCAUCUCUCUCCUAUCUAAAUAUGCACCCACCCACCUUUACCUUCCAUAACCCUGCUCCUCAGUGUCCUCAAAGCUCCGAGAAUGUUUUUAUAGUUUUGUCUACUCUUUCCUUCCAAUGAUUUUAAAGCAUUAACCUAAAUUCAUUUAUCCCCUAGGGAAGUGGGCAAACCCCGCCUCUGGAUGAGACGGCACCAUAACCCCCACGAUCUCUGAGGUCUCAGUAGCAAAGGAAAGGAGAUGAAAAGCUCAAUCUGUCCUCAGAACAUUGGGUAUGAAGGAGAUGAUGAAAUAAAUAUCAGUAUCCCACCUCCCAAACCUUGGGAAGUGCAGACUUCAAGAAUGACUUCCAGAUAUAGAAGAACACAGAGGGGCCUCUGCUUCUCUGGUGGGUUACCAACCUCGAGAACUGAAUUGGGGGUCUGGAAGGCAAGAGGAGAGAAAACACUCCUUCUUAACGUCACUCAGUGAUGAAGAAAAGUCUGCAUGCUGAUAGGUAGGUCUUUAUUUGGCUCGUUAAUUUUACCCACUACUUAACUGGUCCUUUAAUUUCAUAAACUGUGUUUUUAGUAACUCUAGAAGUUUAAUGGAAUAAACUUGGAAUUAUUUACACAUGCCAUAUUUCUCUAUCUACAUAAGUCAGUUUACCAAUCAUAAAUACUCUUACCAAUAAGUGGUAAGAUCCAUUAAGGAGAAAAACACAAUGGCGGGUCUGCCUCUUGGACUCUAGCCUCUUCCCUUAACAGGCUUCCCAAGGACUGUUCCUCUUCUCCCCAGGGUUCAGACAUUGCCUACCCAGGUCCCAGGAGUCCCUCUUCAACUCCCAAAGCUAGAAAAGGAGGAACUUCCUCAGUUUAAAUGUUUUGAAAUCCUCAGUGAAGAAUACGCCAGAGAGCUGUCCUUUUUGCUUGAUUUGAUUAAUUCUGAGAUCAAUCAUAUGAUUUCAAAUAGUUAUUCCAAACUGUAGCCUUUAACCCUUAUGCAAUCUAAGAAUUACUCCUUACCCAAGGAUAUCAUAACAUAUUAUAAGAUCUUUUAUAUGGAAUUCUUCAUUUGCUCCAUGUAACAACCCUGAGGAUACAGAUUCUUAUCUCCAUUAUACAAAUAUUUGAGCUGAGUCUCAGAGAUCUGCAUAGCCGGUAAAUGAUGGCACCUACACAUCAAUGUUCAUUCAGUUACACUUCCUCUUUCUAUUUCUUUCCCUCCCUAGGCUUGCUGAUUGUGACAAUUCUUAUGACUGUAAGGACCUUUCAACAAAACCCUUUCCAUUCCUAGAAUUGGGAAAAAUUUGUUGCAAGGUGAAGGUGUGAGCGAUAACGUAAAACUUGUGUCGAACAUUUAGGAGAAAAUUGCCUUUGAACUCCUGGACUUAGAAAUCAAUAGGAGGGCACUGGGAUGAAGGGCUGAGGGGAGAAAUGGAUAAAGAAACCAGCUUAGAAUUUGGUUUCCAGUAGGGAUUAGGUGGAUGUUGCAAGAUCUGAAGAAUAGAAGUAAAAGUUCCUGGACACAGACACAAGUGUGAUGAUACCACAGGAAAAAAUUUCCUAACUGGUAACUGGUGAGGCCCUUCAGAGCCCCUUUCAACCUAGCUUCCCUGCACCCCCAUUCUGUCAGCUCUCCUACUGUGUUUAGCUGGAGGAGGUGCUAUCUGGUAUAAAGGUUUGGGGAGGCAGGACUCAGUAGUGUCACUGCGAUGUCUGCAUUUGGUAAACCCCCCGAGUCCCAGAGUGUCUGUUCCUUUAGUGGAUUUAUACCUAUAUGUAGCCAGGCAUCACUAAUCUCACAACCGAGCCUCCCCCUGCACCAUGGAUCACACACAUCCAAUCUCAUACCAGGUCACACACCACUCAGUUUCUCAUCCUCAUAAGCAGACACACAGCUCACAAGCACAGUCAUGCAUCAUUCUCCUGACACCCCCCCACACACCAUAUGUACACGUAAGACAGACACAGACCCUCACCCCUACACUCAUCCUGGCUUCUGCUCCCCUUUUCCACUGAAGUGCUUGUUUUGUAGGGUGUAAACCCUCAACCCACCAGUUCCCUCAGGCCCUCCCAUUCUCCUUCGGAGAUCCUGUGGUCAAACGUGCUAAUGGGAUACAAUAAUAAUAAUAUAAACCCAUUGUGGUUAAUAAUAUAGGUUCUAAGUCUUAAGUGGAUGAGUCUCAGGAGAUCCCAAAUAUGCAUUUCCAACCAGCUAUGUGAAAAGUUGAAAAAAAGAAAAAAAGGCCUAUCUUUCUUGGUGCUUCUUCUCUGAUCCCCACUCCCCAGCCCAGGCUCACAACCAGGCCUUGCAUCUCUCCGUGGUCCUUCCCUCUCCUCUGGUGCUCUGAUUCCCUCCCUUCUCACUCAUCCCCAUCUCCGUCUCCCUCCCUCACCCUCUCAGUCCUCUCCUCCGGCAAGUGUAGUGGAAAAAGCAUUGGGUUUGAAACCACUGAGUGACAUUAGCAACUCAUUCGAGUCUGUGGUUCCCCACUUGUAAAAUGGGGUUAAUAACAGCUACCUCACAGUGUUGGAAGAUCAAAGAAAGGCGUGGUGGCAGAGCGCUGGUCCCAGGAAGUAUGGAGUGAUGUUUGGGAUUAUUAGUCCCUGCCCCAAACCUGCUCCCUUUCUCCCUAAUCCUGCCUCCAACUGCCCCCCUCCAAAAACCCAAAUUCCAAACAGCUGAAAAAGCAAGAGGCCGCUAAUCUCUCCUUCCUCCAACCUCUGAAGGAAGGAAACAUAUGGACUCCAGGCUCUCUGAAGCCCAAUUGUCUUAGUUUGGAUUCCCCAAUAUUUCUUCCACAUUAUAUAUAAUUGAAUCAUAAUCUUCUAGCUAUAAAAUCAGUUCCUGGGAGGAAAUUUUAAAUUUACCCAGGAAACUGAAGUCAGUACAAGGUCAUUUUGUGCAGUUCUCCUGCCCUGUUUUUACCCCUUCCUGCCCCGCCUGUGUUCUGGAAUGCCCCGGGGUGGGGGAUGGGAUGGGGAGAGGUAAUAAAUGCAGAGGGGCUACUUCUAGCUUUGCUAUACGUCAUUCUACCAAGUGACUCUAGGCCAUCCUCCUCUCAACUGCACCUAAACACUCUUUUGCUGAAAAUAUUUAGGUCAGGCCAUAUAAAUGGAUUCUUUUAGGAAAGGCCCUGAUUAAGCUCUCUAAUUCUUCGCUUUUUUGGGGCAGCAUAAAUACUAAGCUACAAAUUCCUUUGUGUUUGAGCUCCUUGAGGCCAUUUGCUGUUGGAGAUGAUUUCCAAGAGAGUGAGGAUGGGGUGGGAAGGUGGGGUGUCCUGAAAGAUCCCAACUCGACCCCUUUGGUCAGUGAAGACAAAGCUGGCAUGAGAAGCUUUUCAAGACAUUAGACUCAGGUCCUGGGUGGGAAGGAGGAAAGAAUAUGGAAACAAGGGAGUUGAGAAAUACUCUGCACUCUGUUGCUCCAGAACCCAGUCUGGGCAAAAGGCUCCCCAGCCACCGUCUUCUUUUUGAGCAACCCCCCAACCCAGUACCUCCAGCCCCACUUCCAUCGAGCUCCGCUUUGCCAUUCUCAGCUCCCAACCAAGCCGGAUAGACCUAUAUGGCUUCAGGGGAGCGAUCAGAGCAAGACCAGCGUUCUCAGGUGACCUCCUACACACCCUCCCAACCCAGCAAUAGCUGCGGAUAGCCUGCCGGAUAGUUCACCGGCGCCCACGGGAGAGGCCUGGGCUGGGAACCCCAGGCACUGUUCCGAACAGCCCUGCAACUAGAUUUCAACAGACCUCUCCCUUGGAGCAGCCUCCCUGGCAAUGACCCAAUCCGCAGAUUGCCCGAAAAGGCCCCAUUCCAAGAGUCAGAAAGAUAACCCACCUAAAUGCAGAGGAAAUCAGAAAAAAGGAGGGCUGGAAACCAGGGAUAAGCCUUAACUCCAAGCCUGAUUUCUAGGAGGGGUGCUCUCAAUGCACCCUCUCACUUCUAACACCCGCAAGUACCCACUUGACUCCCAGCCUCAGCUCUGCCAGCCCAUCCGUUUCGUAAAGGGAUGUCUGAGUCUGAAAUUGUUAUCUUCAAACCAAAGAGGAGGCCACCCCUCCCCCA